UUGAAAGAAGUGAAGCUUAGAGAAGGGUACUAUGUGAUGGACCCUGUCAAAGCAGUGGAAAUGGUUGAUGAAAACACCAUCUGUGUAGCUGCAAUCUUGGGUUCAACCCUCAAUGGAGAAUUUGAAGAUGUCAAGCUUCUAAACGAUCUUUUAAUUGAAAAGAACAAAGAAACUGGGUAAACAUAUCAUAUCUUUUUCCAGCGACGUAAACUUGAUAAUAAUCUGAAAUUUGAGGUGCUAAGUUUCAUAUAUUAAUCACCUUUUUUAAAUCUCUUUGUACAGAUGGGAUACCCCAAUUCAUGUUGAUGCAGCUAGUGGUGGAUUUAUUGCGCCAUUUUUGUACCCAGAACUUGAGUGGGACUUCAGGCUCCCCCUUGUGAAGAGUAUUAAUGUUAGUGGGCAUAAAUAUGGUCUUGUUUAUGCUGGAAUUGGUUGGGUUAUCUGGAGGAGCAAAGAAGACUUACCUGAAGAACUCAUUUUCCAUAUUAACUAUCUUGGAGCUGAUCAACCAACUUUCACUCUCAAUUUCUCCAAAGGUCACUUUUC
rnacentral:lncRNA from 1 species